CUACGAUGGGAGAACUUCUGUGCUAGAGACACCCUUAUGGGACAAGACUUGCUUCAGUGGGGCUUUGGUGCUCACUGAGUCUGCCCCCUGAAUGUGUCCCUUAUGGAUCUGAGGAGUUGUAAUCUGG